rnacentral:rRNA from 1 species
AUUGAACGCUGGCGGCAUGCUUUACGCAUGCAAGUCGAACGGCAGCGGGGUAGUGCUUGCACUACUGCCGGCGAGUGGCGAACGGGUGAGUAAUAUAUCGGAACGUACCGAGUAAUGGGGGAUAACCAAUCGAAAGAUUAGCUAAUACCGCAUACGUCCUGAGGGAGAAAGCGGGGGAUCGCAAGACCUCGCGUUAUUCGAGCGGCCGAUAACUGAUUAGCUAGUUGGUGGGGUAAAGGCCUACCAAGGCGACGAUCAGUAGCGGGUCUGAGAGGACGAUUCGCCACACUGGGACUGAGGAACGGCCCCGACUCCUGCGGGGGGCAACCGGGGGGAAUUUUGGACAAUGGGGGCAACCCUGAUCCAGCCAUGCCGCGUGUAUGAAGAAGGCCUUCGGGUUGUAAAGUACUUUUGUUAGGGAAGAAAAGGGAAGUGCUAAUACCACUUUUUGCUGACGGUACCUAAAGAAUAAGCACCGGCUAACUACGUG